rnacentral:lncRNA from 1 species
AAGAUGUCAAGAUGCUUCAAGAUCUUCAAGAUUUCUUUCAACAUGGUUUCAACGAGUUUUGAUUCGCGUCCUUGCCUGCCGGCAUCGCGUGGACCAUAUUAAACUUUGGCUGCAACGCAGAAUGGAGUACACCUCAGCUUUCGUUCCUUGUCUUUGGCGUCCCUGGAGCUGUACGAUUCGCUCGUGUCAGUGCAAGGCAGGCUGCAAUCCUGCCGGCAGUGCACCUAUGCGACGAAGAAGAAGAACCACAUGCGAGCACACCUUCGUAAACAUACGGGCGAGCGCCCCUUCCAGUGCCACUUGUGUCCAGCUGUGUUCGCUCAGAACAAUACCCUCACAAAGCACAUUCACACUCACACAGGCGAGCGUCCCUAUUUGUGUUCCCACUGCAAUUCGUCCUUUUCGCGAGAAGACUACCUCGUCCUCCACAUGCGCACCCACACAGGAGAGCGUCCCUUUUCCUGUGUCGACUUCAAUGCAUUCUUUUCACAGAAAGGCAGCCUUCUUCGCCACAUCGCAUGUCGUCAUGUAAAGAAGAAGCUCUAAAGGUUCCUCAUCUUUGGAGUCUCCGGAGCAGUACCAUUCACUCGUGUUCAUCCAAGGCGGACUGCAUUCCUACGACUGUGCCCUUAUGUGACCAAGAACAAAGGGCUCGUGAGCGCAUACCUUUGCAUACACACAGGCAAACGCCCUUUCAAGUGCCACCUCUAUCCGGCUGCAUUCACUCAGGACUUGGUCUCAGAAAGCACAUUUGCAGCCGCACAGGAGAGCAUCCCCUUUCCUGUGUCCACUGCAAUGCAUCCUCUUUGCAGAGAAACCACUUAGCGAAUCACAUGCUUAUCAGACAGGAGAGUGUCCCUUCUCCCGUUUCAAUUGCAGUCUGUCCUUUUUGCAAAAAUGCAACCUGAUUCACCACGUCUCACGUCGUCAUCU